UUCGGGAGGACGCUUACCACUUUGUGGUUCAUGACUGGGGUGAAGUCGUAACAAGGUAGCCCUAGGGGAACCUGGGGCUGGAUCACCUCCUUAUACGAAGAU
rnacentral:rRNA from 1 species